GCUUUUAAUAAUAUAGUUAAUAUCAUUUCACGAAGGGUGUUGAGCUAAUUGAAUUAAGAUAAUAGUCUUUAAAUUGUGUGUGGCAACACAUAAAGAUUAAUUGUAAUUAGGGGUGAUAGGCUUAUCAAGUUGCCGGAUUACUUGAUCUUUAAGAAAAAUAUUUAGUAUCUAGACAGUUUAGAAAUGGUUAGGUUUCUAUAAGUUACUAAAUAAAAUAAAUCCUGAAUAGUUAAUUUAACAAUUACUAUCUCUUUUAAUAUAUAAUAUUAUAUAUAAAGUUUGUAGCCAUUAUUAAGGACUUUAGGUAAUAAUUUACCAUAUUGUUAAUGAAAACAUUAGUAUUUAGAAAAAUGUUUUAUGAAGGAACUCGGCAAAUUUCUGCUCAACUGUUUAACAAAAACAUAGCUAGAUGAUGUUAUAUUUAGUUUUUUCUGCUCGGUGGUAUAAACUAAACAGCCGCAGUA
rnacentral:rRNA from 1 species